UUACGGCCACACUAAGUCGAAUCACCGGUUCCCGUACGAUCAAUAAAGUUAAGCAACAUUGAGCAUGGCCAGUACCUAGACGGGUGACCGCAUGGGAAUACCAGGUGCUGUAA